rnacentral:rRNA from 1 species
UACGGAAGGCAGCAGUGGGGAAUAUUGCACAAUGGGCGAAAGCCUGAUGCAGCUAUGCCGCGUGUAUGAAGAAGGCCUUAGGGUUGUAAAGUACUUUCAUCGGGGAGGAAAAAACAAAACUAAUAAUUUUAUUUCUUGACGUUACCCGAAAAAGAAGCACCGGCUAACUCCGUGCCAGCAGCCGCGGUAAUACGGAGGGUGCUAGCGUUAAUCAGAAUUACUGGGCGUAAAGAGCACGUAGGUGGUUUUUUUAAGUCAGAUGUGAAAUCCCCUGGGCUUAACCUAGGAACUGCAUUUUGAAACUGAAAUACUAGAGUAUCGUAGAGGGAGGUAGAAUUCUAGGUGUAGCGGUGAAAUGCGUAGAUAUCUGGAGGAAUACCUGUGGCGAAAGCGGCCUCCUAAACGAAUACUGACACUGAGUGCGAAAGCGUGGGGAGCAAACAGGGAUUAGAUACCCGU